AGAACGUCGUGAGACAGUUCGGUCUCUAUCCGCCGCGCGCGUUGAAACUUGAGAAAGGCUGACCCUAGUACGAGAGGACCGGGUUGGACAUACCUCUGGUGCGCCAGUUGUCACGCCCGUGGCAUGGCUGGUUGGCUACGUAUGGGAGGGAUAACCGCUGAAAGCAUCUAAGCGGGAAGCCUGUUUCGAGAUGAGGUUUCUUUUGAGGUUCCCUAGAGAUGAUGGGGUUGAUAGGCCAGAUCUGGAAGCACUGUGAGGUGUGGAGGUGACUGGUACUAAUUGGCCGAAGUGUAACAAA
rnacentral:rRNA from 1 species